rnacentral:rRNA from 1 species
UACGAAGGGGGCUAGCGUCGCUCGGAAUCACUGGGCGUAAAGCGCACGUAGGCGGAUUGCUAAGUCAGGGGUGAAAUCCUGGAGCUCAACUCCAGAACUGCCCUUGAUACUGGCGGUCUCGAGUCCGGGAGAGGUGAGUGGAACUGCGAGUGUAGAGGUGAAAUUCGUAGAUAUUCGCAAGAACACCAGUGGCGAAGGCGGCUCACUGGCCCGGUACUGACGCUGAGGUGCGAAAGCGUGGGGAGCAAACAGG